rnacentral:rRNA from 1 species
UACGUAGGGUGCAAGCGUUGUCCGGAAUUAUUGGGCGUAAAGAGCUCGUAGGCGGUCUGUCGCGUCGGCUGUGAAAUCCCGAGGCUCAACCUCGGGUCUGCAGUCGAUACGGGCAAACUGGAGUACUGCAGGGGAGACUGGAAUUCCUGGUGUAGCGGUGAAAUGCGCAGAUAUCAGGAGGAACACCGGUGGCGAAGGCGGGUCUCUGGGCAGUAACUGACGCUGAGGAGCGAAAGCGUGGGGGAACGAACAGG